GACGAACGCUGGCGGCGUGCUUAACACAUGCAAGUCGAACGAAGUGGCGAACGGGUGAGUAACGCGUAAUCAACCUGCCCUUCAGAGGGGGACAACAGUUGGAAACGACUGCUAAUACCGCAUACUGAAGGAGGGGGUUGCGUCGGCUUAGCUAGUUGGGGGGGUAACGGCCCACCAAGGCGAUGAUCAGUAGCCGGUCUGAGAGGAUGACCGGGCACAUUGGGACUGAGAUACGGCCCAGACUCCUACGGGAGGCAGCAGUGGGGGAUAUUGCACAAUGCGCGAAAGCCUGAUGCAGCUACGCCGCGUGGGGGAUGAAGGCUUUCGGGUUGUAAACCUCUUUCGCUAUCGAACGGGUAGGUGGAGAAGAAGCGCCGGCUAACUACGUGCCAGCAGCCGCGGUAAUAC
rnacentral:rRNA from 1 species